rnacentral:rRNA from 1 species
CCUACGGGCGGCAGCAGUGGGGAAUUUUGGACAAUGGGCGCAAGCCUGAUCCAGCCAUGCCGCGGGUCUGAAGAAGGCCUUCGGGUUGUAAAGGACUUUUGUCAGGGAAGAAAAGGCUGUUGCUAAUAUCGACAGCUGAUGACGGUACCUGAAGAAUAAGCACCGGCUAACUACGUGCCAGCAGCCGCGGUAAUACGUAGGGUGCGAGCGUUAAUCGGAAUUACUGGGCGUAAAGCGAGCGCAGACGGUUACUUAAGCAGGAUGUGAAAUCCCCGGGCUCAACCUGGGAACUGCGUUCUGAACUGGGUGACUAGAGUGUGUCAGAGGGAGGUAGAAUUCCACGUGUAGCAGUGAAAUGCGUAGAGACGUGGAGGAAUACCGAUGGAGAAGGCAGCCUCCUGGGAUAACACUGACGUUCAUGCUCGAAAGCGUGGGUAGCAAACAGGAUUAGAUACCCGUGUAGUC